GCACGACAAGGUUAAUCCGAGUGAUUUCUGCUAAAGAAAUCUUUUGCAAGUCAUAAAACCACUAGUGAAUAAGGGGUGGGCAAGUUCUGGUGUCAGCCGCCGCGGUAAAACCAGCACCUCAAGUGGUCAGGAGGAUUAUUGGGCCUAAAGCAUCCGUAGCCGGCUCUGUAAGUUUUCGGUUAAAUCCAUGUGCUCAACGCAUGGGCUGCCGAAAAUACUGCAUAGCUAGGGAGUGGGAGAGGUAGACGGUACUCAGUAGGAAGGGGUAAAAUCCUUUGAUCUAUUGAUGACCACCUGUGGCGAAGGCGGUCUACCAGAACACGUUCGACGGUGAGGGAUGAAAGCUGGGGGAGCAAACCGGAUUAGAUACCCGGGUAGUCCCAGCUGUAAACGAUGCAGACUCGAUGAUGCAUUGGCAUAUAGCCAGUGCAGUGUCGCAGGGAAGCCGUUAAGUCUGCCGCCUGGGAAGUACGUACGCAAGUAUGAAACUUAAAGGAAUUGGCGGGGGAGCACCACAAGGGGUGAAGCCUGCGGUUCAAUUGGAGUCAACGCCAGAAAUCUUACCCGGAGAGACAGCAGAAUGAAGGUCA
rnacentral:rRNA from 1 species